rnacentral:misc_RNA from 1 species
UCCGAGUUGACCCCGGCAGUCUCCUAUGAGUCCCCACCAUCACGUGCUGGCAACAUAGAACGAGGGUUGCGCUCGUUGCGGGACUUAACCCAACAUCUCACGACACGAGCUGACGACAACCAUGCACCACCUGUGUACCGACCUUGCGGGGCACCCGUCUCCGGGCGUUUCCGGCACAUGUCAAAGGCUGGUAAGGUUCUGCGCGUUGCUUCGAAUUAAACCACAUGCUCCACCGCUUGUGCAGGCCCCCGUCAAUUCCUUUGAGUUUUAGCCUUGCGGCCGUACUCCCCAGGCGGGGCGCUUAAUGCGUUAGCUACGGCACGGAUCCCGUGGAAGGAAACCCACACCUAGCGCCCACCGUUUACGGCGUGGACUAC